UACGUAGGGUGCGAGCGUUAAUCGGAAUUACUGGGCGUAAAGCGUGCGCAGGCGGUUCGUUGUGUCUGCUGUGAAAUCCCCGGGCUCAACCUGGGAAUUGCAUUUGUGACUGCACGGCUAGAGUGUGUCAGAGGGGGGUAGAAUUCCACGUGUAGCAGUGAAAUGCGUAGAGAUGUGGAGGAAUACCGAUGGCGAAGGCAGCCCCCUGGGAUAACACUGACGCUCAUGCACGAAAGCGUGGGGAGCAAACAGG
rnacentral:rRNA from 1 species